rnacentral:rRNA from 1 species
UACGGGGGGGGCAAGCGUUGUUCGGAAUUACUGGGCGUAAAGGGCGCGUAGGCGGCCUGCUAAGUCGGACGUGAAAUCCCUCGGCUCAACCGGGGAACUGCGUCCGAUACUGGCGAGGCUUGAAUCCGGGAGAGGGAUGUGGAAUUCCAGGUGUAGCGGUGAAAUGCGUAGAUAUCUGGAGGAGCACCAGUGGCGAAGGCGGCAUCCUGGACCGGUAUUGACGCUGAGGCGCGAAAGCUAGGGUAGCAAACGGG